UAACAGUUUUCGGGGCGCAUUCGUAUGGUACACAAGUGAUAUAAACGACAAAUAACUAAACUAUUAAUUGUGCGAUACACACGAUCAUUUUGAGUAUUUUCUUUUUAAUAAAUUCAUUUUAAAGAAAAAUUUUUUGCUUAAGUUAUUAAGAUUAUUAUAAUACUGUGUGAUUUUUUGUUGGUUUGUUAAAUAAUAAUAAAAUAAAAUAAAAGUUAGUGAGUGGCUAAAGUCUUUCAAGGAUCUUCUAUUUAACGAACAAAUCGUUUAAAUAUAAGAUCUAAUAGAAGACUGGAAGUAUUAAGCUGUUUUAAAACUGGAUUUUAUGGAGAGAAGAAUCAACUUUAGGAUAUAAAAAGAAAAAAUUGUAUAGUCAAUUAAAGGUUUUACUAUGAGAGGUUUGCCUUUGAACAACUGACUAAUGGUGUGUUUCCGUAAGGGUUAUCUGGGUUGACCGCGACUGUGCUGGUCAUGGAUCGGACAUGUUGCGGUCAACCGGCACCGUACAAUUACGCGGUGGCCUCGGGCCACACUUCAGUUACCGGCACUUGUAAGGGCACAGCUGUUAGCUGCUAUCCCGUUUCGUACGACGGUCGACCGGCGGCGGGCAUAUCGGUUGAAAUGGACGAACCCCAGGGGUGUUUUUGUUGCGACAGCGACGACGACAGCGUAGAACGCGCCCGGUUGGCUCACGAAAAACGCAAGUGCUACAAAAGCUUCGCGAAGAACAUUUUCGUCUGUGCCCUGUUGGUCUCGUACACAUUUGCCGGCGCUUUGAUAUUUUUGAGCAUCGAGGGCGACGUCGGCGACGAAGACGGUGGACCUGUGCGUUUGGCCGGAUUGAUGCCCUCGUCUGCACAAGUGAACAACCUGACGGCCGCACUUUUGGCUGCGGCGGGCCAAGAGAGCAGGGCCCGCACUGUCGAGUCUAUCUGGGAGAUAACCGUCAACCUAAACAUACUGUAUCGGGAGAACUGGACUAGGUUGGCGGCCCAGGAGCUGAAUCGUUUCCAGGAAGAUUUGAUACGGCGGCUGUCUCAACAAAUGGAAAUUGAAUCGGCCGCUGUUAGUUACCACACGAGUAGUUCAGGUAGAGAUAACGGAGACCUAAUCGACACGGGUUUUGAAUGGAAUUUGGCCACAUCGUUUCUGUAUUGCCUUUCUAUACUUACAACAAUAGGAUACGGGAACAUUACACCGAAAACGGCUCUUGGAAAAAUGGCCACUAUGGUCUAUGCACUGAUCGGCAUACCUCUGAUGUUAGUUUACCUGUCGAGUGUCGGCGGACUGUUGGCGUGGUGUGCCAGAGGAAUCUUCACCAGGUCAUUGUGUUGUUGCCUGUGCUCAAAGUGCGGCUACUGUUGUUACGACGAGAAGCUGAUGGAGGAAAAAGAGCGGCGGAUGCGGUUGAAACGAGAGCGCAGGGAGUACGACAUGCAAAUGAAAACGCUUUCGGGACAGGCCCUAGAGCCGUACUACGUGAGACCGGGCGAUUCGGACAGUGUGUUUCAACGGGUAACGGAAAAAUCGACGGCGACACCGGCGUCGUCGUCUUCAGCGACAGCGGACAGCGCGUCGGCCGGUCCGGAGAACGUAAGUUUUGUUCCUUUGCUGUUGGUCGGCUUCGCGUUUAUGUCAGCGUACAUCGCGUGCGGAGCCGCAGUUCUCCAAAAACUGGACGGCGGCAAAUCGUAUCUGGACUGCGUGUUCUUUUGCUUCAUGUUGCUGAGUACCAUUGGCUAUGGCAAUUCCCUGCCGUUGGAGAUGACGCUGACCAACACGGCAACCGUGUGGUUCUGCUCUGUGUACAUACUGUCUGGUAUGGCGUUAACGGCCAUGUGUUUCAAUAUCGUGCACCACGGCGUGUCCACCAAAUUGAAAACUCUACACGACAAUCCACAGCCGUACAACACCGAGCACCGGACUAGUUGUGGCAGCAUUAGCAUCAGCGAUUUAACACACGGCAACAGCGAACACUCUUGACAUCGCCCGCAACUGGACUCCUCGCGCUCGGACGUCCAUCCGUCCGACUCGGGUGCCAAAAUCGUACCGACCACUUCGGCUGCGACGAUGGCUAAUUACAUUGGCCACAACGGGUAUCCGCAGCCCGAAAUCGUGGCUAUCGCCACUGGUAAACCACCGGCAAGCGCCUCGAUGCUUGUGGACGUCGAACCGGUGCCCGUCGAUUGUUUUGACAUCAAGUUCGACGGCGUGUUGGCCAAAGUGCCAUCCGUAUCGGUGGUCGACUUGACCAAUUUGGAAACGAUAACGGAAGCCGACGACUCGGUCGAGAUGUAAAAACCCAUUGACACAUUGUAAUUGUGUAAAAUUAUUAAACCCGCACAGUAUUUAAUCGUUUCUAUUAAUCUAUUUGAUGUUACUUGAAAAAAAAGUCCGACAACAAAAAUCAUUCAUUGUUCGAUGCUAAAUUAAUUUCAGUUUUUCCAUUUAUUACAUCACUUGGCAUAUGCAAAAAUAAAAACAACAAAAAAUGUGGUGUACCGUAAAAUUACUCAAAUCCGUUCCAGUACGUGCACACAAUCGAUGAAUAAAAACAAUGGGACUCGUAUGUAUGUCACGUUAUUGCGACACGAUUUAUACAAGUUAAAUUUAUUGUAAAAAAACACAAAACCUUUUAUACCUUUUAAUGUAAAAAUAUAUAUAUAUAUAUUUAACUAUAAAAUAAUAAUGAACGCAAAAUUUAUCUAAAAAACCAUUUGUUCGAUAAUUUAUAAUGUUUGUUUCUGAGCAAUAACUUUAUAAUUCAUUAUUAUUGUGCGCAUUUAAAAAAUAUAAACAAUAAAAUAAAAAACCCUCAAAAAAUAUAUACACAUAAUUGUAUUCCGUUGAAAAAAUGUCCAAAAUCAUCAAGUUCGAAAGUAAAUAAUUAAGUUUAUUGACAUUUUUGUAAUUAAAAGGAAAACUUCAAAUUCAUAGUUCUAUAAGAUUCUAAGGUACGAAAACACACGAAAUGUUAAAAAAAAAACUCAUAAACAAUAAUUAAGUCAGUAACAGUCAAUUUAAAUAUUUCCCUUCAUUUAAAUAGCCGCCUACGCAUAACUCUGUAUUUUUCAUUUCAGCACAUGACAAAUACGAUAAAUUCUCCAAGUACAAAAAUCUUCCUUGUUUAUUUAUUUGUUUGUUUAGAAUAUAUUUUGUGAACACGAAUAAUUUAGAUUCUACUUUUGAAACUGUGACUAAUAAUUACAUCUUUAGAAUUUACAGUUUUAUUAUUUUCGUUUUAUACAUCAACCUGUAUAAAUUAAAAAAAAUCAGCAAAUUGAAUGAUAAUCAUAAUUAAAAAAAAAGUGAUUUGUAAUUUUUUUUUAAUUAAAUCAUUUUCAAAGCGAUCCAAACCUAUAAAGAGAUUAUAUUAGUGCUAUUGACUCUGUAUAAAAUAAUCUGAGCCCUAAAUCUCUUCUUCAUUCCCAAAUUUACGCCAAGAUACUAAUCGCACACAUUUUUUAUUUCACAAUUUUCAAUACAUACACACAAAAUCAACAAGAUUAUUCGUUGUCACUAUACAACCUACAGUUUUUUGUCAAAUAAAACUUAUUUUUUUAUUACUUUAAUAAACAUUUCUAAAACAAGCAAUGUUUUUCAUUUUAAUUAUAGCCACAAAAUAAUUUUAUUUUUAUAUAUUGACAGUCAUUUUAUCGAUAUGUCUACAUUACUAUUGUCAUUGUUAUAAUUUAUUCAUUCGAACAAUAUCACUGAAUGGUCGGCUGCGUUUUAAAUACACUGUUUCCAUAGAUUUCUUACAAAACAUACAUUUCUAUUGUAAAGUUAAGUUUGUCAACGUUUUUAAAGUAAUAUCACUAAAUCUACUACCACUCUUGAGAAUAUCUCAUAUUCACAGAAGCAAGUUGUCAAAAUUACUUUAUAAAUAAGAUGUUGGGAAUCAAGAAAUUAAUUUGCCCAAGUUAAUUGGUAAACUAUGAUUUUAAUAAUCCUAAUUUUAGCAAGAGAUAUUUAAGUGAGUAAAUCACAGUGGCCAUCCUACUGUAGACCCAAUUAUAAGUAUUACCACUAAAGUGGUGGAAAUUCAACGACCAGGUGUUGAGGAAGACUUAACAGAAUACUUAUACACUCGGUUUUAAUAACAUGGAUUAUUUACGAUUAACGAUGAAACAAUACAGAAACACGGAAAACGUAAGGGUUAUUGCAAGGAAGCCUUUAAGUUGGAACAUAAAACGCUAAAUGAAAAUUGUAUACAAUAUAAACCUACCUAAUUGUAGCGAUUUAUUUAUAUUUGUUUUAAUCUUCCAUUUCUCUAAAUUCACAUGCGUUGUACAUACCGUCUAAAAUGAACUUUUAUAAUCUUUUUUUACCGCCAGAUCUACCAUACUUAGUGAAGUGCACCUAACGAUUAACCAAAACUUGCCCAAGUUAUCUUUGAAUACCUUGUUUCCACGACAUUUACACAAUUAGUGGGCGCGACUAUCUUUAAACGACCAAAACCAAUUGGUAAUUAAUCCAAGUUUAAGGAAUUAAUAACUUUGUGGGUUAUUCAGACUAACCUUUCUUUCGAUAAACUAUAAUGGAGAUUCAACAAAUCAAAAUUACUGUAUUGAAAUUAUCUCCUAGCCCAAUUAUUAAACAAAGGUUCGCAUUUUUUUUUUGACAUCAAAGGACAUUAGAACGGACAUGAAGUAUGAUGAAACCCUUUCAAUGGCGUAUUUAAGAUUUCGCUGUCCUCAAUAUAAUAAAU